AGGGUUUGAUCAUGGCUCAGAACGUACGCUGGCGGCACGCCUAACACAUGCAAGUCGAACGCAGUAGCAAUACUGAGUGGCAAACGGGUGAGUAUAAUGUGGGAAUCUGCCUUUUGGUUCGGAAUAACACGGGGAAACUUGUGCUAAUACCGAAUAAGCCCUCACGGGGAAAGUUUUAAUGCCAAAAGAUGAGCCCGCACUUGAUUAGUUUGUUGGUGGGGUAAUGGCCUACCAAGACUUUGAUCAAUAGCUGAUUUGAGAGGAUGAUCAGCCACAUUGGGACUGAGACACGGCCCAAACUCCUACGGGAGGCAGCAGUGGGGAAUCUUGCACAAUGGAGGAAACUCUGAUGCAGCGAUGCCGCGUGAGUGAAGAAGGCCCUUGGGUUGUAAAGCUCUUUCGUCGGGGAAGAAAAUGACUGUACCCGAAUAAGAAGGUCCGGCUAACUUCGUGCCAGCAGCCGCGGUAAUACGAAGGGACCUAGCGUAGUUCGGAAUUACUGGGCUUAAAGAGUUCGUAGGUGGUUGAAAAAGUUGGUGGUGAAAUCCCAGAGCUUAACUCUGGAACUGCCAUCAAAACUUUUCAGCUAGAGUUUGAUAGAGGAAAGCAGAAUUUCUAGUGUAGAGGUGAAAUUCGUAGAUAUUAGAAAGAAUACCAAUUGCGAAGGCAGCUUUCUGGAUCAUUACUGACACUGAGGAACGAAAGCAUGGGUAGCGAAGAGGAUUAGAUACCCUCGUAGUCCAUGCCGUAAACGAUGUGUGUUAGACGUUGGAAAUUUAUUUUCAGUGUCGCAGCGAAAGCGAUAAACACACCGCCUGGGGAGUACGACCGCAAGGUUAAAACUCAAAUGAAUUGACGGGGACCCGCACAAGUAGUGGAGCAUGUGGUUUAAUUCGAAGAUACGCGCAGAACCUUACCAACACUUGACAUGUUCGUCGCGACUUUAAGAGAUUAAAGUUUUCGGUUCGGCCGGACGAAACACAGGUGCUGCAUGGCUGUCGUCAGCUCGUGUCGUGAGAUGUUGGGUUAAGUCCCGCAACGAGCGCAACCCUCACUUUUAGUUGCCAUCAUUAAGUUGGGCACUCUGAAAGAACUGCCAGUGAUAAGCUGGAGGAAGGUGGGGAUGACGUCAAGUCCUCAUGGCCCUUACGUGUUGGGCUACACACGUGCUACAAUGGUAUCUACAACAGGAAGCGAAACAGCGAUGUUAAGCAAAUCCUUAAAAGAUACCUCAGUUCGGAUUGCACUCUGCAACUCGAGUGCAUGAAGCUGGAAUUACUAGUAAUCGUGGAUCAGCGUGCCACGGUGAAUGCGUUCCCGGGUCUUGUACACACCGCCCGUCACACCAUGGGAGUUGGUUCUACCUUAAGGCAAGGUUUAAUACCCUUGACCACGGUAUAGUCAGCGACUGGGGUG
rnacentral:rRNA from 1 species